UUUUGUAUACCUAUAUGUUAUUCAAUAAAAUUUAAUAUUUUAACAAAUAUAAAUGUGAAUAAUAUUAAUAUGAAAUUUGUAGUAAAAUAAAUGAAGAAUAAGAUAGAAAAAUACUUUAUCUUCCUGCUGUUGGGAAUCCGGUACUCGCCCCGGUACCGGAUCUCGUGAAUCCGCAACCCACUCCGAUACCGACUGCUGUGGAUUCGGUACCGAUUGUUGGGAUUUCUCAACGGAAACGUCAAAUCGGGUUUUUACCAUAAACCCGUCUUCUCAGCAAAAGCUGAUACAAUCAUAAAAGAGAAAAAUAUGCAGGUAAAAUAAGAUUCAUUAAAUAAGAGAAGAUUACACCUGACUCCUCUUCUGCACAUAGUAGCUACAACCCGAGCCCUCUUUCUGAAUCUCUUCUACUCUUCUCUUGUCUUCUAUAAAAUCCACAAAAAAGACCUCUCCACGUGCACCCGUGUACAAAGUGCACUAAAAUAACUCUCUCUCUCUUUUUCUCUCUCUGGUACGACACCCCAAUGAUUCCAGCCGUACUACUUCCAAAAAAGAGAGCCACAAUGCCUAUUUAUAAUGCUCAACUUAAAACGUACUCCAAUCCUAAUAUAUUAGGAUUCAUACUUUAAUUAAUAUCUAAAUCUAUCUUAAUCAAUCUCUAAUAGAUUUAAAUAUUAAUCCUAAUCUAGUUAGGUUUAUCCUCUAAUUAAUAUUUAAAUCUUAAUUUAUCUCAAACAGAUUUAAAUAUUAAUUCUUAUCCAAAUAGGAUUUAACUACAAAUCUAACCAAAUUCUAACACCUGCAAUAUAUAUUAACAUCUCCCUAUCAAAUAUAUUUCUUAGAGAUAAAAACGAUCGAAUAUAAUCGGUUUUUUUAAGAAUUAUAUUCAUAUUCUUUUUUUUUUUAAAAAAAUUUGAAUAAAAUUUGAAUACAAAUAUGUGUGAAAUGAUAAAUUUUAACAUCCAUACUCAUAUCCUAUCGAAUUCGACAUUAGAUUUGAUCACCAUACGAUUUAAAAAGUUUUAUUUUACUCUUUUAUUAUCUUUUUUACUUUACCAUAAAUACCUAUAAUUAAAUAGAACAAUAAAAUAAUAUGUAUUUUACAAAAUUU
rnacentral:lncRNA from 1 species